rnacentral:rRNA from 1 species
GCGGGGCGCAGAGUCCUUGUCAGGUGCGUCCUCUCAGCCAUGUCGAUGUUCGCCCUCUCAGUGUUGCGUGUGCCAAAGAAAUUCUUCAAAGGGAUGGACAAGGUCAGGCGACGCUUCCUGUCGGCGCACGACCAGGAGAUCAACGGUGGAAAGUGCAAGGUAGCAUGGAGGGCGGUGACCACGCUGGAGGCCAAAGGAGGUUUGGGCAUCCAUGAUCUUUCGGCCUUCAUCAGGGCUUUGCGACUACGCUGGCUUUGGCUGUGCUGGGCAGACCCAUCCAGGCCCUGG